GUGUUGCCUGCAAGGGCGUAUGGUGGAUGCCUUGGCAGACAGGACCGAUGAAGGACGUUUGAGGCUGCGAUAUGCCUCGGGGAGCCGCCAACAGGGCUUUGAUCCGAGGAUUUCCGAAUGGGGGAACCCACCGGCCGUCAUGGGCCGGUACCGCCGUGUGCGGGGGGUACGCAGGGAAGUGAAACAUCUCAGUACCUGCAGGAAAGGAUAUUCCGUGAGUAGUGGCGAGCGAAAGCGGAUCAGGCCAAACCUUGCGCGUGUGAUACCCGUCGGGGGUUGCGCGCGGGGUGUAGAGGGAUCGCGUUUGCCGGCUCCGACGGGCCGGCCGUCAGUUGCAUAAAACCAUGUGCCAGGGGAACCGGGUUGAAUACCGGGCCGCAGAGGGUGAGGGCCCCGUACCCGAACGCGCAUGGUCUGGCGAUCGCGUCUCCCAAGUAGCACGGGCCCCGUGGAAUCCCGUGCGAAUCUGUCCCGACCGUGGGAUAAGCCUAAAUAUUCCUGUCUGACCGAUAGCGAACGAGUACCGUGAGGGAAAGGUGAAAAGUACCCCGGGAGGGGAGUGAAACAGUCUCUGAAACCAUGCGCCUACGAACCGUCGGGGCCCUCUUGUGGGGUGACGGCGUGCCUAUCGAAAAAUGAGUCUGCGAGUCAGUGGCAUGUGGCGAGCAUAACCCGUGUGGGGUAUGCGUAGCGAAGGCGAGUCUUAAAAGGCGUUUGAGUCGCGUGUCCUGGACCCGAAGCGGGAUGAUCUAGCCCUGAGCAGGUUGAAGCGCGGGUAAGACCGUGUGGAGGACCGAACCCACCUGGGUUGAAAACCGGGGGGAUGACUUGGGGCUAGGGGUGAAAGGCCAAUCAAAUUCCGUGAUAGCUGGUUCUCUCCGAAAUGCAUUUAGGUGCAGCGUCGGAUCGAUUACAUCCGGGGGGUAGAGCGACUGGAUGCUUGCGGGCCCAUAUCGGGUACCAACAGCAACCAAACUCCGAAUACCCGUGAUGCGUAUCCCGGCAGUGAGUCGGCGGGGGAUAAGCUCCGUCGUCGAAAGGGAAACAGCCCAGAUCGUCGUCUAAGGUCCCCAAGCGUGUGCUAAGUGGGAAAGGAUGUGGAGUCGCAUAGACAGCCAGGAGGUUGGCUCAGAAGCAGCCACCCUUGAAAGAGUGCGUAACAGCUCACUGGUCUAGUGGUUCCGCGCCGACAAUGUAGCGGGGCUCAAGCACACCACCGAAGACGCGGCAGUAGCUUUGCUACUGGGUAGGAGAGCGUCCCAUGCGGGGCGAAGCGGCGGCGCAAGCCCGCCGUGGACCGCAUGGGAGUGAGAAUGCAGACAUGAGUAGCGAAAGACGGGUGAAGAUCCCGUCCGCUGGACGACCAAGGGUUCCAGGGCCACGUUCAUCGUCCCUGGGUGAGUCGGGUCCUAAGGCGAGGCCGACAGGCGUAGUCGAAUGGACGAACGGGUCGAUAUUCCCGUACCGGCAUGCAACCGGCAAAACCGAAUCCGCGAGUACUAACUUCCGGGUCCGGGCUUACGUCUCCUUCGGGAGCCGGAUGCCCUGGCCUGUUGGGACCGUAACGGUAGUAGGUCAGCGCGGGAGUGACGCAGAAGGGUAGCCGGCCGCGGAGGUGGUCUUCCGUGGUCAAGCACGCAGCCCGUCCCACAGGCAAAUCCGUGGGGCGCGUGGGCGAGGUGCGAUGAUGGGCGCCGCAGGGCGCGAUAUCCGGUGAUCCCGGCUGCCGAGAAAAGCUUCGGCGUGAGGCGGCAUGCCGCCCGUACCCCAAACCGACACUGGUGGUCAGGUAGAGAAUACCAAAGCGAUCGAGCGAAUCCUGGUCAAGGAACUCGGCAAAUCACUCCCGUUCCUUCGGUUUAAGGGAGACCCCCGAUGGUGAAGCGGCUUGCCCGCGGAGCUUUUGGGGGUGGCACAGACCAGGGGGUAGCGACUGUUUACCAAAAACACAGGAGCGUGCGAAGGCGCAAGCCGCUGUAUACGCUCUGACGCCUGCCCGGUGCCGGAAGGUUAAGAGGAUCCGUCAGGCCUCGGCCGAAGCGGUGAAUUCAAGCCCCGGUAAACGGCGGUGGUAACUAUAACCAUCCUAAGGUAGCGAAAUUCCUUGUCGGGUAAGUUCCGACCUGCACGAAUGGCGUAACGACUUCCCCACUGUCUCGACCAGGAGCUCGGCGAAAUUGCAGUACGAGUAAAGAUGCUCGUUAAGCGCAGAAGGACGAAAAGACCCCGGGACCUUUACUAUACCUUGGUAUUGGCAUUCGGUGUGGAUUGUGUAGCAUAGGCGGAAGGCUUCGAAGCCACGGCGCCAGCCGCGGUGGAGCCGCAAGGUGAAAUACCGCUCUGUUCGCAUUGGAUGUCUAACCUCGACCAGUCAUCCUGGUCAGGGACAGUGCCUGGCGGGUAGUUUAACUGGGGCGGUUGCCUCCCAAAGAGUAACGGAGGCGCUCAAAGGUUCCCUCAGCCCGGUUGGCAAUCGGGUGGCGAGUGUAAGUGCACAAGGGAGCUUGACUGCGAGACUGACGGGUCGAGCAGGGACGAAAGUCGGAACUAGUGAUCCGGUGCCGGUGUACGGACGCGGCAUCGCUCAACGGAUAAAAGGUACCCCGGGGAUAACAGGCUGAUCAUUCCCAAGAGUCCAUAUCGACGGGAUGGUUUGGCACCUCGAUGUCGGCUCGUCGCAUCCUGGGGCUGGAGCAGGUCCCAAGGGUUCGGCUGUUCGCCGAUUAAAGCGGCACGCGAGCUGGGUUCAGAACGUCGUGAGACAGUUUGGUCUCUAUCCUCUGCGCUCGUCGGAAUGUUGAGGAGGCCUGCCCAUAGUACGAGAGGACCUGGGUGGACGAACCUCUGGUAUGCCGGUUGUCACGCCAGUGGCACGGCCGGUUGGCUACGUUCGGAAGGGAUAACCGCUGAAAGCAUCUAAGCGGGAAGCCUGCUCCAAGAUAAGCAUUCCAUAGGACUACGGGUCCUUGAAGUCCCCAUGCAGAACACGUGGUUGAUAGGCCGGACGUGGAAGCCCCGCGAGGGGUGGAGCCGACCGGUACUAACGGACGAAAGGCAACAC
rnacentral:rRNA from 1 species